rnacentral:rRNA from 1 species
UACGUAGGGUGCGAGCGUUAAUCGGAAUUACUGGGCGUAAAGCGUGCGCAGGCGGUUAUGCAAGACAGAUGUGAAAUCCCCGGGCUCAACCUGGGAACUGCAUUUGUGACUGCAUAGCUAGAGUACGGUAGAGGGGGAUGGAAUUCCGCGUGUAGCAGUGAAAUGCGUAGAUAUGCGGAGGAACACCGAUGGCGAAGGCAAUCCCCUGGACCUGUACUGACGCUCAUGCACGAAAGCGUGGGGAGCAAACAGG